rnacentral:rRNA from 1 species
AGCGGUAACAGAGAGAAGCUUGCUUCUCUGCUGACGAGCGGCGGACGGGUGAGUAAUGCCUAGGAAUCUGCCUAGUAGUGGGGGAUAACUUGCCGAAAGGUAAGCUAAUACCGCAUACGUCCUACGGGAGAAAGGAGGGGACCUUCGGGCCUUUCGCUAUUAGAUGAGCCUAGGUCGGAUUAGUUAGUUGGUGAGGUAAUGGCUCACCAAGACCGCGAUCCGUAACUGGUCUGAGAGGAUGAUCAGUCACACUGGAACUGAGACACGGUCCAGACUCCUACGGGAGGCAGCAGUGGGGAAUAUUGGACAAUGGGGGGAACCCUGAUCCAGCCAUGCCGCGUGUGUGAAGAAGGUCUUAGGAUUGUAAAGCACUUUAAGUUGGGAGGAAGAGCAGUUAACUAAUAUUUGACUGUUUUGACGUUACCGACAGAAUAAGCACCGGCUAACUUCGUGCCAGCAGCCGCGGUAAUACGAAGGGUGCAAGCGUUAAUCGGAAUUACUGGGCGUAAAGCGCGCGUAGGUGGUUCAGUAAGUUAGGAGUGAAAGCCCCGGGCUUAACCUGGGAAUUGCUUCUAAAACUGCUGAGCUAGAGUACGGUAGAGGGUGGUGGAAUU